rnacentral:rRNA from 1 species
UACGUAGGGUGCAAGCGUUGUCCGGAAUUAUUGGGCGUAAAGAGCUCGUAGGCGGUCAGUCGCGUCUGCUGUGAAAACUCGGGGCUUAACUCCGGGCCUGCAGUGGGUACGGGCUGACUAGAGUGCGGUAGGGGAGACUGGAAUUCCUGGUGUAGCGGUGAAAUGCGCAGAUAUCAGGAGGAACACCGGUGGCGAAGGCGGCACUCUGGGCUGGAACUGACGCUGAGGAGCGAAAGCGUGGGGAGCAAACAGG